GUAACGGCGAGUGAAGCGGCAACAGCUCAAAUUUGAAAUCUGGCUCUCGGGCCCGAGUUGUAAUUUGUAGAGGAUGCUUUUGGUGAGGUGCCUUCCGAGUUCCCUGGAACGGGACGCCAUAGAGGGUGAGAGCCCCGUCUGGUUGGACGCCGAUCCUCUGUAAAGCUCCUUCGACGAGUCGAGUAGUUUGGGAAUGCUGCUCUAAAUGGGAGGUAUAUGUCUUCUAAAGCUAAAUACCGGCCAGAGACCGAUAGCGCACAAGUAGAGUGAUCGAAAGAUGAAAAGAACUUUGAAAAGAGAGUUAAAAAGUACGUGAAAUUGUUGAAAGGGAAGCGCUUGUGACCAGACUUGGGCUUGGUUGAUCAUCCGGGGUUCUCCCCGGUGCACUCUUCCGGCUCAGGCCAGCAUCAGUUCGCCUCGGGGGAUAAAGGCUUCGGGAAUGUGGCUCUCUCCGGGGAGUGUUAUAGCCCGCUGCGUAAUACCCUGUGGCGGACUGAGGUUCGCGCAUUCGCAAGGAUGCUGGCGUAAUGGUCAUCAGUGACCCGUCUUGAAACACGGACCAAGGAGUCGUCUUCGUAUGCGAGUGUUCGGGUGUCAAACCCCUACGCGAAAUGAAAGUGAACGCAGGUGAGAGCUUCGGCGCAUCAUCGACCGAUCCUGAUGUUAUCGGAUGGAUUUGAGUAAGAGCAUACGGGGCCGGACCCGAAAGAAGGUGAACUAUGCCUGUGUAGGGUGAAGCCAGAGGAAACUCUGGUGGAGGCUCGCAGCGGUUCUGACGUGCAAAUCGAUCGUCAAACAUGGGCAUGGGGGCGAAAGACUAAUCGAACCUUCUAGUAGCUGGUUUCCGCCGAAGUUUCCCUCAGGAUAGCAGUGUUGAACUCAGUUUUAUGAGGUAAAGCGAAUGAUUAGGGACUCGGGGGCGCUAUUUAGCCUUCAUCCAUUCUCAAACUUUAAAUAUGUAAGAAGCCCUUGUUGCUUAA
rnacentral:rRNA from 1 species